AUUGAACGCUGGCGGCAUGCCUUACACAUGCAAGUCGAACGGCAGCACGGGAGCAAUCCUGGUGGCGAGUGGCGAACGGGUGAGUAAUAUAUCGGAACGUGCCCAGUCGUGGGGAUAACGUAGCGAAAGCUACGCUAAUACCGCAUACGAUCUAUGGAUGAAAGCGGGGGAUCGCAAGACCUCCGNGCGAUUGGAGCGGCCGAUAUCAGAUUAGGUAGUUGGUGAGGUAAAGGCUCACCAAGCCGACGAUCUGUAGCUGGUCUGAGAGGACGACCAGCCACACUGGGACUGAGACACGGCCCAGACUCCUACGGGAGGCAGCAGUGGGGAAUUUUGGACAAUGGGCGCAAGCCUGAUCCAGCAAUGCCGCGUGCAGGAUGAAGGCCU
rnacentral:rRNA from 1 species